rnacentral:lncRNA from 1 species
CUGGAUUUCAUGGCUUGCUGUUUUACAUCAUAUUUGACAUAAACAUUGUUUCUGUUAUUACACAGUUAACAAGAGAGGGCAGCACGGCGAACCAUCAUCUAGCGACACUUUUUUCUUCGAGUGUCGAGCAACUCUGGGAACAUUUAUUGUCAGUUGAAGCCAAUGUUGUUGAUAAGUGUAUAUAACCUAUCUAUAUUGCUCGAGUAUCUGCUGAUUUUUGACAUUUCUUUAUGUCUUAGGGGUGGUCCCGAGCUUCGAAAACACGUGGGCGAAUAAUGGAGCAAAAAUUAGUGUUAAACACCGAAAGAGGAGCAAUUUGGAGAGCAGCAUGGGAAGAUUCAUGAAUUUCCAUUUGGCAUAUAAUAUAUUAUGGGAAAGAUCAUCCAAUCUGGAGUCUAACGCAAAAAGAUGGGUUGCAAAUCAGAGUUGUAGAUAAAAUGUCAUGCGAAACUGAAGUUGGACUGCAGAGACGAGUACAAGCACUGUCGGUGUAAGGUGGUGGUGCGAGUUGAAGCAUCACUGGUUCAAGUUAGCGGCACCAAACUUCGUGGAUGGUCUCAGGGUGGUGAUUCUGGUGUUUUGGGCACAAAUUUCAAGCAAAUCUAACCCUACGAUGGAUAUCUCCACUCAAUUUGCUUAUUACUUAAAUGAUGUGUAACUAAACUCAUUUGUUAGGAUAAUUGGAGUAACCCAAUUUUGAAGAUUGGCUCCGACAAUGUAUAAAGUGCAUCUCUUUACCAACACUAGAGUAUCUACCCUUGUGUUAGAGACUUGAGCAUGAAUCAAUUAAAAGUAAUUAUAGAGGAGUUUUAUGGAAAUAUGUGUUGGGGAGAAUUACCAUCCAAAUCACUGGAGACUCUAUUUUUUAGGACAUGACAGAAUGGGAGGAAUGGCUUGGAUUAAAACUUGAAGUGCAUGGGGAAAUUAAAUUCCUCAAGAUGUAUUGCAUAAAGGAACGUCCCAAAUUGAUAAAGAUUCCAAAAUUGUUAUUUCUAUUUGUGAACUAUAAGUAGAAGGGU